rnacentral:misc_RNA from 1 species
UGAAUCUUACUUUAAUUUUUCGAGUAUAAAUAAUUACUGCAACAAAUUUUGUGUAAUCAAAAUUAUCACAUCCAUUUAUCAACAUGCCAUAUGCUAAUCAACCAAAGCUGUCCAUAUCUGAACUGUCAGACGAGAACAUAAAAUUUCACAUUGAAGACACAGACCUGAGUGUAGCCAACAGCAUCCGUAGAGUGUUCAUGGCUGAGACUCCUACCAUUGCUAUUGACUGGGUGCAGCUUGAAGAAAACUCAACUGUGCUAAGUGACGAGUUCAUAUCUCACCGUGUUGGUCUCAUUCCAUUCACUUCAGAUGAGACUGUGGAAGCAAUGCAUUAUUCUCGUGAUUGUUCUUGCUCCGACUACUGCCCUGACUGCAGCGUGGAGUUCACUUUGGACGUCCGGUGCUUGGAUGACCACACACGCAACGUCACGACUGCCGACCUCAAGAGCAGUGACACUAGAGUUAUUCCCGUCACCAAUAGAAACAGGGGGGACGGUCCUGAAUACGGCGAAGCUGAUGAUAUCCUGAUUGUGAAGCUGCGUAAGGGCCAGGCUUUGAAACUACGGGCGUACGCAGUCAAGGGCUUUGGCAAGGAGCACGCCAAGUGGAACCCCACUACGGGAGUGGCAUUUGAAUACGACCCUGACAACAUCCUCAGGCACACCAUCUACCCCAAGCCUGAAGACUGGCCCAAGAGCGAGUACUCGGAGCUUGAGGAAGGCAAACUCGCGGGUGAAGCUCCGUUUGAUCCGUACGCAAAGGCACGCAAAUUCUACUUUAAUGUCGAGGCGUCGGGAGCAUUGAAGCCCGAGAACAUCGUGCUCAUGGGCAUCGCCAUUCUCAAGAACAAGCUCGUCACUGUCCAAAACCAAGCCGCUCUCGAAGGCGCGCCUGUUGACCACGAGCCCACUUGGAUGGAGCGAUGAGGCUUCCUAUACCUUCGUCUCAGAAAUGAUAGGAUAUCUUACAUGCCACCAGAUGAAGCCGAUUACGAUCCAUUAGCAAAAGCGCAGAAGUUUUUCUUCAACGUCGAGUCGUG